ACCUCCACCUCCUGGGUUCAAGCAAUUCUCCUGCCUCAGCCUCCUGAGUAGCUGGGAUUACAGCAGAUAACCUUACUUCUUCCUGCACAAAUAAAAGUAAAAGCCAUGAAGCUCAGUGUCUCCCUCCUCACCACCAAAAGACUAUUUACAGUAUGAGUCAAUUUCAGAACUUCUGAGAGCAUGAAGCAGACCCACACCACUUUCAGCUUUUGAGGAUCUGGACAUUUUCAUCUUUGGUACUGAGGAAAUUAUUUAAGGGCAUUGUGAGUUGUUUGUUAAUUUUAAGUAGAUAAAGCAUUUACAUUAUUUAAAAAUCAAAAUGUA